GUGCUUACUUCAGUAGCAUACAUACAAAAAUUGGAAUGGGAAUAGAGAUUAUCGUGGCCCCUGUGCAAGCAAAUUCAUGAAGUGCUUCAGAUUUUU
ensembl:snRNA U6 U6 spliceosomal RNA